rnacentral:lncRNA from 1 species
ACUACCACCAGUCAUGGCACCCUACAGCCGGGCCUGCUUGUGCUUUCAACUCGUGCUCGAUAGUUUGUCAAUUUAUUUUUGGCAACACUGGUGAAACACUUUCAGUUUCAUACUGUGGGCAGUCUCUUCCGUUCCGUCUUAUUUACGCUACCAAACCGAGUGACUGUACUACACAAAUCUUUACAACAUGCAUAUGAGUAAAGUAUUACCGGUAUUUAUAUUCCUACUGAUGGGUUAUUCAACAGGAAGCAACGAUGAGUGGGUUGACUACAUAGACAUGCUGAGAUACGAUUCGGUAUCUCAAAGUAUGAAAAGAAAGGUAAGACUGAUAAUCUUGAUCGAUCUAGCAAUAUUUCGUUUUCUCUUUCAGUUCAGUCAUAAAUGUAUAGUCUGGUUUAAACACGUUCGCCUUUUUCACACUCAUGCACGCGCACAUUUUCAAUCGUCUUUUCUUCUCGAUAAGGAUGACCCAUGUGCAAAGUGCUACGAAACCCACGGGUUGUGGGCCCCGAUUAUGAUUUUAAAGCAUGCACCGCUUGCUGACCUCUUCAAGAUCGGCAUGACUCUUCUACUAAUUAUUCUGGGACAUACAUUCAUCAGGGCCCUCCUCCGACGCCGGGGCAACCACAACCCUCCUCCUUUAGCUGUGCCCCAAGUUCAGGCUGUGGGUGAGGCUCAUGGAGAGCAUGUCGACCCUCAGGACCCCGAGCCCGGAGUAGAAGAGGCACCACAGUUCCUUCAGCCGAGAGUGGAGGAGAACGAUAAUUCUUCUGAGGGCCACUUACUCGGAACACAGAUAAGACCAGCAGCUAUGGGACCUGAAUUUGAAAACAACCUCCCAGCACAUGUAAGUGUAGCAAGGGUUUAUAAGGUCCUUACAAACGUAUAA